rnacentral:rRNA from 1 species
UACGAAGGGGGCGAGCGUUGUUCGGAUUUACUGGGCGUAAAGGGCGCGUAGGCGCCUUGUCAGUCAGGCGUGAAAGCCCCGGGCUCAACCUGGGAACGGCGCUUGGGACGGCGAGGCUGGAGUUCGGGAGAGGAGAGUGGAAUUCCCAGUGUAGAGGUGAAAUUCGUAGAUAUUGGGAAGAACACCGGUGGCGAAGGCGGCUCUCUGGACCGACACUGACGCUCAUGCACGAAAGCGUGGGGAGCAAACAGG